ensembl:rRNA 5S_rRNA 5S ribosomal RNA
GCCAGCAGCCAUAUCACCCUGUAGCCCAAGACUGGUUGCCCACUGAAGCUAAGCAAGGUUGAGCCUGGUCAGUACCUGGAUGGGAGACAAACUAGGUUGCUGUUGGAA